rnacentral:rRNA from 1 species
UACGGAGGAUCCAAGCGUUAUCCGGAAUCAUUGGGUUUAAAGGGUCCGUAGGCGGUCUGUUACGUCGGCUGUGAAAACCUGGGGCUCAACUCCGGGCCUGCAGCCGAUACGGGCAGACUAGAAUUCGGUAGGGGAGACUGGAAUUCCCAGUGUAGAGGUGAAAUUCGUAGAUAUUGGGAAGAACACCGGUGGCGAAGGCGGCGACCUGGUCCGUUUACUGACGCUGAGGCGCGAA